rnacentral:misc_RNA from 1 species
AAGACUAUAGACCUGCGGAGUACCUGCGGAAGGAUCAUUAAAAAAAGGGUCUUUUGACCCAUUUUUUUAAAAACCCACUACCAAUUCUAGCCCAUCGGGUCAGAUGGCAGUGGGUUUUUUUCAAACACCAAAAUUUUAAACUAUUCGUCUUAUGACGAAACCAAAAUUAAUAAAUAAAACUUUCAACAACGGAUCUCU